UUUUUGUAAUUUUUCACACACAUGAAAAAAUAUUUCUACCUCGGCGAUUCCGGCGAAGAACCCUAAUUCUCGCCGCUUCUCUCUCUCUCAUCUCUUUUGGCCGCUUCGAUUCUCAACGAGUCUCUCUCUUGUCGUCAUUCCUAUCGCAUUUCUUCUCAAAUUGCGUACAUCCAAUGUUCUAAGAAAAGAAAAGAGUUCUUGGUCCUCACAUAUGGUUCUG
rnacentral:lncRNA from 1 species